GUAUUUCGUUUUGCCAUACGGCAGACAAACAUUCGAUAAUUUAACACAAGAGUUUAUGAAUUUCGAAAGCAGGUUUAAUACUGCCUUCAAAUCUAAGUGCACAGGUGUAAAUUGGACUAGGAGAGCGAGCACAUGCAGUCAAAACUGCCAGCAUCAACUCCCUGUAAAUUCACUAAUGAUCCUUCCGCAGGUUCACCUACGGAAA
rnacentral:misc_RNA from 1 species